CCUACGUGAGGCAGCAGUGGGGAAUAUUGCGCAAUGGGCGAAAGCCUGACGCAGCGACGCCGCGUGAGGGAAGACGGUCCUAUGGAUUGUAAACCUCUUUAGGCGGGGAGCAAUGCCGGGCACGCGUGCCCGGAGGGAGAGUACCCGCAGAAUAAGCAUCGGCUAACUCCGUGCCAGCAGCCGCGAUAAUACGGAGGAUGCGAGCGUUAUCCGGAUUUUUUGGGUUUAAAGGGUGCGUCGGCGGAUUUUUAAGUCAGCGGUAUAAUGUCCGGGCUCAACCCGGGCCGGCCGUUGAAACUGGGGAUCUUGAGUGGGCGAGAAGUAUGCGGAAUGCGUGGUGUAGCGGUGAAAUGCAUAGAUAUCACGCAGAACUCCGAUUGCGAAGGCAGCAUACCGGCGCCCGACUGACGCUGAGGCACGAAAGCGUGGGGAUCGAACAGGAUUAGAUACCCGUGUAGUC
rnacentral:rRNA from 1 species